UACAGAGGUGCCAAGCGUUAGGCGGAAUCACUGGGCUUAAAGCGCGUGUAGGCGGGUCGUUAAGUGUCCGAGUGAAAUCCCACGGCUCAACCGUGGAACUGCCGGGCAUACUGGCGAUCUUGAGGCAUUCAGGGGCGAGCGGAACAAAUGGUGGAGCGGUGAAAUGCGUAGAUAUCAUUUGGAACGCCAAUGGUGAAAACAGCUCGCUGGGAAUGAUCUGACGCUGAGACGCGAAAGCCGGGGGAGCGAACGGG
rnacentral:rRNA from 1 species